AAAAAGAUAAGCUAAUUAAGCUAGUGGGUUCAUACCCCACCUAUGAGAAUUUUAACUUCUCUCUUUUUAA
rnacentral:tRNA from 1 species